rnacentral:lncRNA from 1 species
UCACAUAACUAUCCAUCAUAUCAACAAUAAAUCAUAUCCACUGAGCAUGGCAUAUUGACUAGCAUGACCAUUACCAACAUCAACAUGUACUACUAGCAAUCAUAAACAUAUGAAAGGUAAUACUAGCAGGUAGAACAUGAUCACAUAGUACAAACAACAUAGCACAAAAGUGAACUUGCAAAUCUAACAUCACCGGAACAACGAUAACCAUCUUUUUAACAAGCAAACAAUUAAUGAAGUUUCAAGUUGAAAACCAUGGCUACUGCAUGACUAGGGAUGAAGAAGGCACCGGGGAGAGGUGCGGUGAAGCCGCGGAAAGAUUUGUCGGAAACAGUCCUCUCCUGGAGGGGGCUGUUUACGUGCAAAGGCAAAAAGGUCAUUUUGACAUUGUCAAACCAUAGUGAAAAUGAAACCAACAGAACAGGCUCGACGAAACAAAGAAGUGGGCAUUGGAAUCACCUCAUUUGGAGUUACGGAUAAAAAGUUGUGGAGGGUUGAAGUUCAGGGACUUUUCUGUAAAAUUUUCAUCACAAACAAGUCCCUGAGUGGAUAAGGCAGAAACGCAAAGUUAGGAAUACCCUUUCGGUCAGCGAAAACGUACUUGCCCAAAAUGCGCUUCCACUUGCCACGUUAGCAGGG